AUUUCCCCCACAACCCAGCAUCUGCAGCCUCUCCUUCCCAAAUCAACGCGCACAGCUUCCCUCACCCAGCAGCAAGCAAUGCACUUUUCCCCCUUUUUUCCAACAGAACGCAACACACACACAAGACUGUGAAAGAAAGAUGAAACCGAAGGGGGAGUGGGGUGAGGAAUCCACGGAGAAGAAAGAAGAGCCCUUGAUCUCAGAGUGUUGAACGGAAGGGAGCGAAGGGAACCUCACCGCCGUGCUCAACCCACUGCGUGCCCUGCCGCGCAUCGUCGCCGUUCCGUGUAGUCUGCCUUGGUGCCGAUCAAACAGGGGUGAGGGAGAGGUGUCGAGAGUGAGACGUGAUGGAGGUGAGAGGGUAGAGCUGCCAUCACCACCGUCCUGUCUGUGGGGCUUGAGCUCGCGUCGCCGCAUUGAUCUUCGGUGCCACCGCAGAGGAGACUGGAGCAGUCACCACCACAGGAGGAGUGUCGCGCGUCACCGUGAGCUGCGAGCCACUGACCGAGAAGAAGCUCCAUCUUCGUUACCGUGCUGGAGUCGUCGCCGCCAGCGCCGUGCACCGCCGUCACCGCUGUCGUCGACGGGAGCUUGCUGUCACAGUUCUAUCACCACCGAGCCUGAAGGGGAGCACCAUUGAUAUCACCCGACAGCAGCUCUCCUGCGUUCCCAAACUCCAUUCUUGGAACAUCGUUGCUGGUUUAUCAUUCGAAAAAGGCAUAAUUGAGGCUGAGGUCGUUGUUAUUCUUGCUCCGAGAGAACUGAUGCCACAAUUGCUGCCGGGUCAAUCUGGAGUUUCGGUUGUUUCGUUUUGUCAUUACAGAUUUAGUUAUCGGGGCCACAUGUUGCGGGUAGAGUCGUUGUGGUUGCUGAGAAAGCGGUUUGGAGCUGAGCUUGCGGCUGCCGCAGUUGCGGGCCGAGCGAAAGUGAGUUGUGAUGCGUUUUAGGGCUUUCGAGUUUCGACGUGUUGAGGUGAUGCAGGAGGAACUGAUCCCAGAGGAGGUAACUAGCUAUAGCUUUACCAGGACUGUUUGGAAGGGGCUGGUUCCGCCUAGAGUGGAGCUAUUUGUCUGGUUUGUUCUGAUAGGAAGAGUGAAUACAAAGGACAGAUUGAGCCGGUUUGAAAUUAUCAGUGAGGACAACGUUACUUGUGUUCUUUGUAACAACGAGGUGGAAGAUGUACACCAUUUGUUUCUAGGAUGUGUGUUUGCUUGGCAGAUGUGGAGUGCUUGAAUCUGUGUUUGCUUGGCAGGUGUGGAGUGCUUGGAUCUCAGCAUUUGGGCGACGAUGGUCGUUUCCGGGAUCGAUGAAAGAGCACUUUCUUAGUUGGACAGAAGAACCGAGGAGGGUGGAUGAGCGUAACCACCGGUUAAGGUGCUUCUACGCGAUAAUCUGGAACCUAUGGUUGGAAAGGAAUAGGCGAAUCUUUCAGCACACAAGCAAAGGAGUUGAAGAAAUUAUCAACAUGUCUUCGAUUAGUGCUAACGAGUGGAGUGGUGGAGAUCCCUUUAGUUGUUGAUGGCUAUGCCGGAGAUGACAAGGGGAUGGCUUUCGUAAUUGUUUGUAUUUUUGUUAUAUUUGUUGUUUUUACUUUGGACGACUCUGGUUGCUCCACUACUAUUGUGUUGAGCUGUUUGCUUUCAAAAAAAAUGUCAAAAACUAAUAUUUUAUUGUCUCAAAUGUAUCCUAUAAUUAAGUCUAA